rnacentral:rRNA from 1 species
GAGCGGGAAAAGCUCAAAUUUAAAAUCUGGCGUCCUCCGGGCGUCCGAGUUGUAAUCUGGAGAAGCGUUUUCCGCGUCGGACCGUGUACAAGUCUUCUGGAACGGAGCGUCAUAGAGGGUGAGAAUCCCGUCUCUGACACGGACUACCGAUGCUUUUGUGAUGCGCUCUCGAAGAGUCGAGUUGUUUGGGAAUGCAGCUCAAAAUGGGUGGUAAAUUCCAUCUAAAGCUAAAUAUUGGCCAGAGACCGAUAGCGAACAAGUACCGUGAGGGAAAGAUGAAAAGCACUUUGGAAAGAGAGUUAAACAGUACGUGAAAUUGUUGAAAGGGAAACGCUUGAAGUCAGUCGCGUUGGCCGAGACUCAGCCUGGCUUGCCUGGUGUACUUCUCGGUUGACGGGUCAGCAUCAGUUUUGACCGUCGGAUAAAGGUUGGAGGAAUGUGGCAUCCCUCGGGAUGUGUUAUAGCCUCUGAUUCGCAUACGGCGAUUGGGACUGAGGAACUCAGCACGCCUUUAUGGUCGGGGUUCGCCCACGUAACGUGCUUAGGAUGCUGGCAUAAUGGCUUUAAGCGACCCGUCUUGAAACACGGACCAAGGAGUCUAACAUGCCCGCGAGUGUUUGGGUGUUAAACCCGAGCGCGUAAUGAAAGUGAAAGUUGAGAUCCCUGUCG